AACAGACCCGACAAUGGAAAGCUUGGUAAUCUUCGCACAAAAUGCGACGCCUGGAACUCAGGUCUACUUUUUAGAUGGAUCUCUGGGAAAGAACUCCCGAAUUACGUCGGCUCUUGUAUCCUCGGUGUUUAGAAGUGUUCAUUUGGUUAACACCCUAGCGCAACUAGGAUGGAUGCCUUGAGAAUUGGAGGAGAGCCGUAUUAAAACAAACGAAAACGAAAGAUCGUUAUCGAAGCCUGGUUCCCUUGUAUGCAUUCCUGGGACAUAAAACCGGCAGCAUAUAGGAUAACGCCCAGGGCUUGUCCUUUGUUGCUUGUUCUGGUUUUGAUGUGAAAGCCUAGGGAGAGAAGCUAAGAAGAGAGAGAGGGAUUGAUAGUUCUAUUUUGAGAAGCUGUAUGGGAAUUCGUUACAACUUCUACUGCAGGUUAACACACUGCGGUCUGGCAUUCCACUGGCAUGGUCUCAGGUGCAUUACGCGGCGUCAGCCACGGAGGAAGAAUGUUAAAAGAUUUCGUGGCCCUUGACUGAGUGAGUACGAGUACACCCUUCGCAGUCUUCCACAACUCGCCGUGCAUAUUCCCCGCCCAGUUCACUAUCCCCAUCAUGAAAAAGAGCAUGCAAAAUUCAAUGAUAGUGAGAUCGUCCAAAUGCAGCUUUACCCCUCUACGCACCCCAAACCAACAACAAAGCAAGGAAAAUGAAUCCUGUUUUGAACCGUGAUUCCAGCUUCCGUCUUCUCCUCCUCUUUUUGCCCUGCUCAAGAAAAGGACCAGACCAGAUGGCAAGCAGACGCCAAGUUCGGCUAGAUUAAAUUAUGCACCGCGGCCCGUCCCUGGUCCCCCGCGUUCCCUGCUUAUCACAGCGUGAUAACGUGCAUUGUUGUUAUUGUUAUUUCUUCUAGGAAUUUUUUUUUUUUUUUUUUUUCAAAUCACCCUUGUCGUGUCUUCAUUUCCCCUUCUCUUUUCUUUUGGCCCUAUGAUAAGGCACGAACGCGUUAUAUUUUACAUGGGAUUUUUUAUAGGGCUGGUUCAGACUCGCAUGGUGGCAGUGAGGGAAUGGGAGUGUGGGAUGGCAAAGUCAGAGCCAAUCUUUGAUGAUAUACAGAUUAAUGAUGGAGGGAAUUUGGGAUCUCAAAUUUAAUUGGCUGUCCGUGCCGCAAUUUUGGUCCAUUGAUGCCUUAACUACGCUCUCUAGCCUCGUUGCCUGGGUUUUGCAGGGUGGAAGGUUGUGAUGAAAAACACAUGUUUGUUGGUGCAAGGGAAAUCUUAGCCCAUGGUCCGUGGAGAGUGCAGAAACUCCCAGUAACUAGAUGUAGGUAGGUUUUCUCAGGUCAGAAUUGGAUGUCAGUUAAUUAACCUAAAAAGACGAAAC
rnacentral:sRNA from 1 species